GAUGAACGCUGGCGGCGUGCCUAAUACAUGCAAGUCGAGCGAACAGACGAGGAGCUUGCUCCUCUGACGUUAGCGGCGGACGGGUGAGUAACACGUGGAUAACCUACCUAUAAGACUGGGAUAACUUCGGGAAACCGGAGCUAAUACCGGAUAAUAUAUUGAACCGCAUGGUUCAAUAGUGAAAGACGGUUUUGCUGUCACUUAUAGAUGGAUCCGCGCCGCAUUAGCUAGUUGGUAAGGUAACGGCUUACCAAGGCAACGAUGCGUAGCCGACCUGAGAGGGUGAUCGGCCACACUGGAACUGAGACACGGUCCAGACUCCUACGGGAGGCAGCAGUAGGGAAUCUUCCGCAAUGGGCGAAAGCCUGACGGAGCAACGCGGCGUGAGUGAUGAAGGUCUUCGGAUCGUAAAACGCUGUUAUUAGGGAAGAACAAAUGUGUAAGUAACGAUGCACGUCUUGACGGUACCUAAUCAGAAAGCCACGGCGAACUACGU
rnacentral:rRNA from 1 species